UCCCAUUUUGCUGAAGAAAGCGCCGGCCCAACGCCUCGCUAAAACCCUUCUCCUCCCUCCCCUCUGCACUGUGAAUUUCUGAGCUUCAACUGAACUCCCAUGGCGGCCUUGGAGCUCCUACUUUCUCAAGCUCGCCGCCAUUGCUUCACAAAAACCAAUUCCUACAAACAGCUAUCUCUCCGACUUCGCUCUCCAUUGCUAGGGUUCCACAGAUCACUUUGCUCCUCCUCAUCUCCCGAACCAAGCCCCCCAGCCGAGACUCGGCCUGAUAAAUCCCCAAGGAGAUCCCAGCCACCACCAGUACAAGCCGUCUCAUACCCUGUGAAACCGAAAGAACCAUCCCCGCCUCAGGAAGAUCCUCCGCAAUCGAGUCCGCCCCAGCCGCCUAGCCGGGCGAGGGAGCCGCGACGUUCCGACUCCGACAAGCCGGAGACUAGGUCUUGGACUCGGGAGGAUAUUCGGUAUGUGAAGGACAUUCCGAAGGUAUCUCCGGUGUCGUAUCCAUCUCGGGUGGCGCCGCUGCCCGAGGACAGGGCGGCAGAGGCCGAGGAGGAGGGGAAGGAGGAAGUGAGGGUUGAGAAUUUGGAGAAAGAAAGAAAGAGAAUCGAGGCUGAUACGAGGAGGAGGAUUAGGUGGGAUUUUAGGGCUGAAGAGGAGAAGGUUCCAUUUCCGACUCUGAUCAAGCAGGUGAGCAAGAAAGAGAAGGUUAUAUAUGAUCUUCAGGAAGCAGUUCGUCUCAUCAAGGCCAAUGCCAAGUCAAGUUUCAAUGAAACUGUGGAAAUACACGUAAAUCUUGCUGCUGAAUUACGUCGAACUGAUCUGAAGCUUGAUGGUAUGGCAUCAUUGCCACAUGGUACCGGGAAGGCUGUCAAAAUUGCUGUUUUUGCUGAAGGAUCUGCUGCAGAUGAAGCCAGAGCUGCAGGAGCUGAUAUUGUUGGUAGUGUUGAACUCAUUGAAGGAAUAAAGAAUGGCAGUGUUAAGGUUGACUUUGAUAUAUGCAUUACAACUCAUCAAUUUGUUCAACGUCUUCAAAAGCUAGGGAAUGUCCUUCGCAGUCGGAUGCCAAGUACUAAAGCUGGUACUGUAACUGACAAUGUUGCUAAGACAGUAAAAGAAGCGAAACGAGUUGUUAAGAUUAACAAAAAGGACAAAGCUGCAGUAGUGCAUGCUGGGAUUGGGAAGGUGAGUUUCACAGAGGAGGCUUUAUGCGAGAAUGUUGGUGCAUUUGUCAAUGCUCUUUUGCUUGCAAAGCCUGCAGGGUUGAAAAAGAGUUCCAAAUAUGCUGGUUACGUGAACUCUGUCCACUUAUGUAGCACGCGACAACAAUGACGGCGAUGGUGGGGACAUUUCGUCACGGCGGUAGCGACAACGAUACAAUAGAUGGGUCCUGGCUUUCCUGUUUCUAUACAAUCAUUGUCCCUAGCUGCAGACCGCUACCACAAAUUGCAACUGAACUGAAGUAAAACGAUUACAAUUUUGGGUUUGAGGUCUGAUUGAAUUUGCCUUUUUCUGUUGAGCUCUCUCUCUGUAUGAUCACAGAAGCAGGGUCUUUCCCUGUUCAACCCUUCCCUGGGGUAAAAAUGAUAUCCAAUUGUUUUAUGAUGGUAAGGUUAACUGCAAUAGGGUUGUGGCUGUGACAAUUCCAGAUUGUCCAGGUCGCCCUCUGCCCGCCCCCAACCCCCUCGAGUCUCUGAAGUUUU